GAGGAAUAUUGCGCAAUGGAGGCAACUCUGACGCAGCCAUGCCGCGUGCAGGAAGACGGCCCUACGGGUUGUAAACUGCUUUUAUCCGGGAAGAAACCCCUCGACGUGUCGAGGGUUGACGGUACCGGAGGAAUAAGCACCGGCUAACUUCGUGCCAGCAGCCGCGGUAAUACGAAGGGUGCAAGCGUUAUCCGGAUUCAUUGGGUUUAAAGGGUGCGUAGGCGGGGCGUUAAGUCAGUGGUGAAAUCCUGCAGCUUAACUGUAGAAUUGCCAUUGAUACUGGCGCUCUUGAGUACGCUUGGCGUGGGCGGAAUGUGCCGUGUAGCGGUGAAAUGCUUAGAUAUGGCACAGAACACCGAUCGCGAAGGCAGCUCACGAAGGCGAAACUGACGCUGAGGCACGAAAGCGUGGGGAUCGAAC
rnacentral:rRNA from 1 species